GAAAGUAAAUAAGGGCGUAUGGGGAAUGCCUAGGCUCUUGGAGGCGAAGAAAGACGUGGUAAGCUGCGAUAAGCUUCGGGGAUUUGCAAACAAGACUUGAUCCGAAGAUUUCUGAAUGGGACAACCCGUCAGGUAGAAGACCUGACACAUCGUAAGAUGGGCCAACCCUCUGAACUGAAACAUCUUAGUAGGAGGAGGAAAAGAAAGAAACAUCGAUUUCCUGAGUAGCGGCGAGCGAAAGGGAAAAAGCCUAAACCGGUAUUGUUACGGCAAUGCCGGGGUUGUAGGACUGCAACAUUCAAGUAACAAUGAACUGGAACGAUCUGGAAAGUUCGUCCAUAGAGGGUGAAAGGCCCGUACAGGUAAGUUCGUUAUGCGAUAGCAGUAUCCUGAGUAGGGCGGGACACGAGGAAUCCUGUCUGAAUCCGCCGGGACCACCCGGUAAGGCUAAAUACUCCCAAGAGACCGAUAGUGAACCAGUACCGUGAGGGAAAGGUGAAAAGAACCCCGAACAGGGGAGUGAAAUAGAACCUGAAACCAUACGCUUACAACCGGUCGGAGCAGCUUCGUGCUGUGACGGCGUGCCUAUUGAAUAAUGAGCCUACGAGUUACUAAUCACUGGCGAGGUUAAGUGCACGGAUGCACGGAGCCGAAGCGAAAGCGAGUCUGAACAGGGCGGCUAGUCAGUGGUUGUAGACGCGAAACCUUGCGAUCUACCCUUGAGCAGGUUGAAGGUUGGGUAAAACCAACUGGAGGACCGAACGAAUAAGCGUUGAAAAGCUUCUCGAUGACUUGAGGGUAGGGGUGAAAGGCUAAUCAAGCUGGGAAAUAGCUCGUACUCCCCGAAAUGCCUUUAGGGGCAGCGUUGUAAUUAAGAGUCUACUGGAGGUAGAGCUACUGAUUGGAUGCGGGGGCUUCACCGCCUACCAAAUCCUGACAAACUCCGAAUGCCAGUAGUAUGAUUUACAGCAGUGAGCGACCGGGUGCUAAUGUCCGGUUACGAGAGUGGAACAACACAGACCAGCAACUAAGGUCCCGAAGAGUAUACUAAGUUGAUCUAACGAUGUUUUGCUGCAGAGACAGCUAGGAUGUUAGCUUGGAAGCAGCUAUUCAUUCAAAGAGUGCGUAACAGCUCACUAGUCGAGCGGCAAAGCGUGGAUAAUAAACGGGCAUCAAGUAUACCACCGAAGUUCUGGGCACGAGAGUGCGGUAGGGGAGCAUUCCAUUGACGUUGAAGCCAUUCCGCGAGGAUAGGUGGAGUUUAUGGAAAAGCAAAUGUAGGCAUGAGUAACGAUAAUGCGGGAGAGUAACCCGCACACCGCAAGACCAAGGUUUCCUGAUCAACGCUAAUCGGAUCAGGGUUAGUCGGGUCCUAAGGGUAAGCCGAACGGUGAUCUCGAUGGACAAUCGGUUAAUAUUCCGAUACUGACAUAUGCCUCGAUGGAGAGACGAAGGAACGUAAGUGACGCCGCCUGACGGAAUAGGUGGUUAAAGGGCGUAGGUAUAGGGACAGAUUAAGAGUUAGUCCUUGCUGAAACCCGACAGUACGGAGCGGCUACGGCCAAUCUGAUAGUUCACCCAAGUCGACUUCCGAGAAAAUCUUCUAAGUUAUAGUAUAUGUUACCCGUACCGUAAACCGACACAGGUGGUCGAGGAGAGUAUCCUAAGGUGCUCGAGUGAAUCACGGUUAAGGAACUAGGCAAAUUAACCCCGUAACUUCGGGAAAAGGGGUCCCUACGCGAGUAGGGCGCAGCGAAGAGGUCCAGGCGACUGUUUAUCAAAAACACAGGGCUCUGCAAAUUCGAAAGAAGACGUAUAGGGCCUGACACCUGCCCGGUGCUGGAAGGUUAAGAGGGGAUGUCAUCGCAAGAGAAGCAUUGAAUCGAAGCCCCAGUAAACGGCGGCCGUAACUAUAACGGUCCUAAGGUAGCGAAAUUCCUUGUCGGGUAAGUUCCGACCUGCACGAAUGGUGUAACGA
rnacentral:rRNA from 1 species